rnacentral:rRNA from 1 species
AUGUUGUUGGUGACCGGUGUCAUGGGAAGACUACUCCUUAAGCUGGGCGACCUGCUCGCCGGUGAGUACAAGCUACAGAAGGGCGUCAAGGAAGACAUUGAGUCCCUCAAGAAAGAGAUGGGGAGCAUUCACAUUGCCCUUAAAGAGGUGGCCGAGGUACCACGAGACCGGCUUAAUGCGCAGUUCAAGAAAUGGGCAGAUGAACUGAGGGAGCUGUCGUACGACAUGGAGGACGUCGUUGACAACUUCCUGGUGUGCGUUGAGGGAUCUGAUCCAGCACCCAACUCCAACAAGCUCAAAUGGCUAAUGGAGAAGAUGACCGGCUAUUUCACCAAAGCCAACGGUCGCCAUCAGAUCGCCAAUGACAUUAAGGCUCUCAAGAAACUUGCCCAAGAGGUGGCUGCCCGGCGUGCCAGAUGCCAAGUCAGCGGUGCUGUUGUCAAUCCACCUAGCAGAUGCAAGGUUGACCCUCGUAUGCUGGCUUUGUACAAGGAUCAGCAAGAGCUCGUUGGCAUUGAAGCCGGACGGGUCGAGCUAACCAAGAGGCUGGUACUUGGUGGUGAGGAUGUGUCAAAUCAACAACUCAAGAUAGUCUCUAUUGUCGGACCUGGAGGACUUGGCAAGACAACUCUUGCCAAGGCAGUGUACGAUAGUCUUCAAGCGCAAUAUGUUCACAAAGCUUUUGUUCCGGUGGGUCAAAAACCUGAAGUGAACAAAGUUCUCAAGGACAUCCUCUUGGAACUGCGCGUGCGUGCGAGCGAUGUAGCCACAUUGGAUGAAAGACAACUUGUCGAAAAAGUCCGAGAACAACUUCAGAAUGUCAGGUACUUCAUCGUUAUCGAUGACAUAUGGGAUUUGGAAUCAUGGGGAACAAUCAAAUGUGCUUUGUUGGACAACAAUCGUGGAAGUCGAGUAAUCACAACAACUCGCAUUCACGAAGUCGCAGCAAACACGGGUGAUGUCUACAAGCUAGAACCACUUUCUCAUGAUUUGUCUAAAGCACUAUUCUAUAAAAGAUUAUUUGGUGGUGAAGAGAACUGCCCUGAUGAUCUACCUUCUGAGGUAACUAAAAAAUUUAUACAGAAAUGUGGUGGCGUGCCGCUCGCUAUCAUUGCAAUAGCUAGUUUGUUGGUUGGUAAAAGAGUGGAGGAUUGGUCUAUGGUAUACACCUCUAUUGGUUUUGGAUAUGGAGAUACUAGAGAUAUUGAUGACAUGAGAAGGAUACUACUAUUUAGCUAUGAUGAUCUACCUUGUUAUCUAAGGCCUUGUCUAUUGCAUCUGAGCAUAUUCCCAGAGGACGCUUUGAUCAUGAAAGAGACAUUGAUAUGGAUGUGGGUGGCCGAAGGCUUUGUCAGUGAAGAGCGAGGGAGAGGGUUAUUUGAGAUUGGAGAUGGAUACUUUAGUGCUCUCGUAAACCGAAGCCUGAUCUUGCCUGUGGAGAAGAAAGGAAAGAAUGUCAUAUAUGCUUGCCGUGUUCAUGAUAUGGUACUUGAUACAAUUUGUUGGUUAGCGAAGGAAGAAAAAUUUGUUACCAUAGUGGAUGGUAAUGAGAAAUACUCAUCUUCAGAAAGCAGUGUUCGUAGGUUAGCUAUCCAAACAAGAGAUGAUGAGCAGCAAAACCAUUUGGCCAACACAAGCAUGCCAAAACUGAGGUCAUGUUAUGCCAGCAGCUGUCAUAAAAGUAUGAUGCCACCACUUUCAAGCUUUCAAGUGUUACGUGUUCUAGACAUGAAAAACUGCAUAUUUCUGGAAAACUGUCAUCUUAAGCAUCUUGGAAGGUUACAUCAGUUGAGAUACUUGAGUCUGGAGCACACAGAUAUUAGUGAGCUCCCAAAAGAUAUAGGAGAUCUAAAGUUUCUGCAGACACUAGACUUGAGUUACUGCAAGAUAAAAGGAUUGCCGCAGAGUACUAGUUCGCUAAGGAAACUUAAGCGCUUGCGCAUGGUCGGGGAGCCCCUGCGAAAUGUUGGUAUAGCAGUGCCGAAUUGGAUAGGGAACCUGACAUCCCUGGAGGAGUUAUCUUUGAAAAUGAGUGGUGAAUUCUCUACCUUCGUUGAAGAACUUGGUAAGCUGACAGAGCUGAGGGUGCUGGACUGUCAUUUAAGGGGAAGUCUGGAUGAUCGUUCUAAGAAAACUUUUGUGGGUUCUGUAUGCAAACUUAAGAAAAUCCAAAUCCUACAUCUUGAGGGCCUCUAUGGGUGGUCGGAAUUGGAGGCAGAUACCUACUGGGCAGGCUACAGGCCCCCUCGGGAACUCCGUGAUCUGUCAAUAUCGACCAAGUUCAGUAGGCUCCCGGCGUGGAUUAAUUCCUCGCUGCUUCCGAACCUCUCCAAACUAAAAAUGCAGGCUUAUCCUAUGGAGGAGCGGGAUGUGGUCAACCUGUGGGGCUUGCCAGAGCUUCGUAGUUUGAAAGAAUUGUGGAUACGACCAGGGGGCAUGGAGUUCCCUGAUGGUGCGUUCCCCAAGUUGAGGAGCUGUGGGAUAGAUGCACCUUUCUGGUUUCAGCCCGGAAGCAUGCGGAGCCUUGAAUGCAUUACGUUCGGCACCGGGAGGUACUUGAACAAGAAGGAUGCCGUCAUUGAUGUUGACUUUAUUGGUACCCUGGGGAACCUCCCUUCUCUCCGGUGCGUCUUCGCUGAUAUGGACUGCUGGGGUGGUGCCCGUGCUUCUGAUGUGGAGAAGAUGGAGGCAGCGGUGAGGCAAGCAAUAGACAAUCAUCCCAACCGUCCCACCCUUCGACUCAGCAGGCGUGGUGGAGAUCCGAUAAAAGAACCAGCCUCCCCUCUUCUGGAUCAUAAUACCGGUGUUGGUACGUCUGCUCAGCAGGAGGACAACGAAGAAUCCAGCUCCCAACUGACAGAACAAGAGCCCGACGACGAACGCGAAGCCAACGACGUCGUUGACGUUGAUGCAGCGGAGAAGUGCUCAGUCCUCGACGUCCACCCCGGCGGUCCUGUCCCUCGCCUCAGUUUUGGCAUGUCUGCCCCAUCACCAGCGCGCACAACAACCGCCGGUGUCAGUUCCUCUGCUCAGGCGAUCAACGAGAAAGAGGAGGAGGAAGAAUCGCAGGCAGACCGACAGGAGCAGCCGGCCGAGGAACACGAAGAAGCCGAGGACGGGUCAGCAGAGACCCUGCACACAGUCGUCGCCACUAGUCUUGCAGAAAGCAGUGAGGCCGCCGCCGCUACGCCUGCUCCUCCUGUGCCCGCUCGACCGAGGUGGAGGCGUUGGGCGUGCUUUAGUUGCCUCAAGUCCGGCAGCAGUUCUUCUCACUAG